UUAAGUUCAAAAUUUAAAUGUGAGAGAUGUGUUAUAGUAUAAUAUAAAAUGCUAAACUGGUCUUUUCUUAUCAAUUUAGAUUUUUGGAUACGGCAACCUGACUUUAUUAUUCCAAACUUGUGUAUCAGUAGUGCGUUGGUAUGCUGGAUUUGAAUAAUGUACUGUAGGUUCCUACCGUAGUCUGCUAUAGGAGAACAUCUUCACAUUUUAACAGAUUGGAAACAAGACCUGGAUUCAGUCUCUUCUUAUCUUAUCUGGACCACCUAAUUUAAGCCUGUAUGCAACAGCUCCCAGAGCAAUGGAGAAAUCAAAGAACCGGAACUAGUCAAACGUGAAGCUGCACAGGUGGGAAGAAAGAAGGAAGAUCCCAGAAGAGAAAAAUGCAAAUAGAAGGAUGGUUUGAAGAAGUAUAGCAACUCCAUGGUUGAGAUUUGUAACCUCUCGUACCUAUGUUUUGGUUGGCAUGAAAGUUGAUGUUAGUUUAUGUUUUGUUUUAAAAUUGCCGUGAUUAUUGUAGAACAUUUAAUUAAGAAAACUAGUGCUUGUGAAGUUUACUAUAUAAUAUUUAUAGGAAACUUUAAGUUGUUGUUGGUCA